AGUGAACGCUGGCGGUAGGCCUAACACAUGCAAGUCGAACGGCAGCACAGUAAGAGCUUGCUCUUACGGGUGGCGAGUGGCGGACGGGUGAGGAAUACAUCGGAAUCUACUUUUUCGUGGGUGAUAACGUAGGGAAACUUACGCUAAUACCGCAUACGACCUACGGGUGAAAGCAGGGGAUCUUCGGACCUUGCGCGAUUGAAUGAGCCGAUUUCGGAUUAGCUAGUUGGCGGGGUAAAGGCCCACAAAGGCGACGAUCCGUAGCUGGUCUGAGAGGAUGAUCAGCAAAACUGGAACGGAGACACGGUACAGAAUACUACGGGAGGCAGCAGUGGGGAAUAUUGGACAAUGGGCGCAAGCCUGAUCCAGCCAUACCGCGUGGGUGAAGAAGGCCUUAGGGUUGUAAAGCCCUUUUGUUGGGAAAGAAAAGCAGCAGGUUAAUACCACGCUGUUCUGACGGUACCAAAAGAAUAAGCACCGGCUAACUUCGUG
rnacentral:rRNA from 1 species